CAGCUCAGUGUGUAGAGCAUGAGACUCUUAAUCUCAGGGCCUUGGGUUCGAGUCUCACACUGG
rnacentral:tRNA from 1 species